rnacentral:lncRNA from 10 species
GGGAGCUUAGAUGUGGAAGCUCUUUGGAAACCAAGAAACACUCUGAAAAUGAAAAGGAUACCAACUUCAUCUCUCUUUAAGAAUACAAUAUUAGUUUAAAAGAUUGUUCAACUUAAAGCAAUCUUGUAGAGAUUGUCACCCAUGAUUGAUGCUGGCAUAAGAAUGUUUAUCACAGCAUGGCAUAUAUUGGAAGUUUAGUAAAUGAAGAUACAUCCAAUCUGACAUUCUAUUCACAACCACAAAGAGAUAAUGUAGAAACAUAUUUAGUAAUGUGAGAAAAUACUAAAUAUUAAGUGAAAAAGGUGGAAGAGUAAACUGUUCCUGUUUCUCCAUCUUGACAGGAAGCAGAAGUUCUCCUUAGCUGAUUUUUCUUCUUGCCUUAUACUGGGUUCUUUAACACCAGAACAAAAAUAAAUAAAUAAAAGAAUCUUCCAGAAAUUCAUGAAGAGACUUCAGGUCAGGAAAGCCUGAACUUUCUCAUCCAACACCCGUUCAAGUCGGAGGAUGCUGAUUAAUUCAUGAUGGAAAGGUAUCAAUUUCACAGCCCAGACCUCUACAUUCUUGAAAUGCUCUUCUCAUGGGAGACAUUAAAUAAGCUUUGAAUUAACUGAAGAACCAAUGAUGUGAUCCCUGGAUACUGGCAAUUGUUGCCCAAGAAAACCUCUCCCCUUGCUGUGGGACUGCUGGGCA